UACAGAGGCGGCAAGCGUUGUUCGGAAUUAUUGGGCGUAAAGAGCACGUAGGCGGCUGUGUAAGUCGGUUGUGAAAGCCUUCCGCUCAACGGAAGAACGGCAUCCGAUACUGCAUGGCUUGAGUGUGGGAGGGGAGAGUGGAACUUCUGGUGGAGCGGUGAAAUGCGUAGAUAUCAGAUAGAACACCAAUGGCGAAGGCAGUCAUCUGGGCCAUAACUGACACUAAAGCACGAAAGCGUGGGGAUCAAAC
rnacentral:rRNA from 1 species